CGUACGUAUCGGAUGAACAAUUUUUUUGCAUUUCUGCGUGGAGCGGCCUUGCACAACGACGAGAUUUCAAGGAGCAGAAACUGGCGACAUGUCCACAGAAGA